CGAGAACAGAAAUCUCGUGU
rnacentral:snRNA from 1 species